GACAGAGGGUGCAAACGUUGUUCGGAAUUACUGGGCGUAAAGCGUGUGUAGGCGGUUUGCUAAGUCGGGUGUGAAAGCCCCGGGCUCAACCCGGGAAGUGCACUCGAAACUGGCAGGCUAGAGUACUGGAGAGGUUGGUGGAAUUCUCGGUGUAGGGGUGAAAUUCGUAGAUAUCGAGAGGAACACCGGUGGCGAAGGCGGCCAACUGGACAGAUACUGACGCUGAGACACGAAAGCGUGGGGAGCAAACAGG
rnacentral:rRNA from 1 species